UUGGGGUUCUGGCGUCCCUCCCUCUCCCUUUACUCUGCUCCCCACCCCUCCACUCCAUUACUCACAAAACCUCCCCCUGACGGUCCCCGGGGAUUCUGAGGGGGGUCCUAAAGGGGAGACAGUGCGGCGAGGGAUGGGGGUGAAGUCAGCCUAACUGAUGGAUACAUGCGGAAAAUGUGUGCAACACCUGGGAAGGGGGAGGGAAAAAACAUGAGCUCCACUCUGCAACACGCCGAAGAGCAGCUGCGAUUUGUGUUUGGAGACGCUCCCUCAGAACACUGGCUACUCCAGCCCGGCUCUCUGUGGAAGCACCUCCUCUGCGAAUCCUCAGAAGACAAGAUGCUGGUCGCAGCAGCCACUCUCUCCUGGAACGUUCCGCUUUCUACAGCCCGGCUUGGCUCUCUGCGGAAACGCAGCUAGUCUGAGAACCCUGAAAAGACAGGCAGGCGCCCUGGAGCCUGAGCCACAUUUCAUAGCUGACCACAUUUCAGUUGCCUCAAGCUCGGUCCCUGUAAAAGCUAAUAAGCCAAGACCUCUCAGCCUGGUCACCUUCCGGGGGAAAUAAAGGCAAUCCAGGGCAUCCCCAGACAAAAAGAAAGAAAGAAAGUAAAAACGAGUCUGCUCCGAACUGCAUGCAGACUCCAGAAGUUCUUUCUCUGGAGGUGGAAAGCUUUUAAUAAAAACGAAUACAGUGUUCCCAGAGGCAAAAGACAAAAGCUUACGAGCAAGAAUAAAUUCCCCUCCAAUGAGCCUUUCACAACAUGGUCCCUUCCUGUCCUUCUGGUCUUAUUAAACGUUGUGCCUUUCUGGGUGCAGAAACUUUGUCCUGUUUGGAAUUCCUCACACACCACUCUAUUCGGCACUUGAUAAAAGGUUGUAGACUGGCCACCUAAAGCACUUCAAGAUUCUUAAAAUACUCAAUAAAUGUCCAUUGUUGUGAAAGCU